UACGGAGGGUGCGAGCGUUGUCCGGAUUUAUUGGGCGUAAAGAGCGUGUAGGCGGCCAGAUAGGUCCGUUGUGAAAACUCGAGGCUCAACCUCGAGACGCCGAUGGAAACCAUUUGGCUAGAGUCCGGAAGAGGAGAGUGGAAUUCCUGGUGUAGCGGUGAAAUGCGCAGAUAUCAGGAGGAACACCGGUGGCGAAGGCGGAUCUCUGGGCCUUACCUGACGCUCAGGUGCGAAAGCUAGGGGAGCGAACAGG
rnacentral:rRNA from 1 species